rnacentral:rRNA from 1 species
AUUGAACGCUGGCGGCAUGCCUUACACAUGCAAGUCGAACGGCAGCACGGGUGCUUGCACCUGGUGGCGAGUGGCGAACGGGUGAGUAAUACAUCGGAACAUGUCCUGUAGUGGGGGAUAGCCCGGCGAAAGCCGGAUUAAUACCGCAUACGAUCUACGGAUGAAAGCGGGGGACCUUCGGGCCUCGCGCUAUAGGGUUGGCCGAUGGCUGAUUAGCUAGUUGGUGGGGUAAAGGCCUACCAAGGCGACGAUCAGUAGCUGGUCUGAGAGGACGACCAGCCACACUGGGACUGAGACACGGCCCAGACUCCUACGGGAGGCAGCAGUGGGGAAUUUUGGACAAUGGGCGAAAGCCUGAUCCAGCAAUGCCGCGUGUGUGAAGAAGGCCUUCGGGUUGUAAAGCACUUUUGUCCGGAAAGAAAUCCUUGGCCCUAAUACGGUCGGGGGAUGACGGUACCGGAAGAAUAAGCACCGGCUAAC